rnacentral:tRNA from 1 species
GUGUGUAUAGCUUAGUGCUAAUGUGCGUGCUUAGCAUGCAUGAGGUCCUGGUUUGGAUCCUCUGUAACACACA